UACGUUCUCGGGCCUUGUACACACCGCCCGUCACACCACGAAAGUUGAUUGGACCAGAAGUCACCCUUCUUUGGUUGCCGAAGGUCUGGUCAAUGAUUGGGGUG
rnacentral:rRNA from 1 species